rnacentral:rRNA from 1 species
GCAUAUCAAUAAGCGGAGGAAAAGAAACCAACCGGGAUUGCCUUAGUAACGGCGAGUGAAGCGGCAAAAGCUCAAAUUUGAAAUCUGGUACCUUCGGUGCCCGAGUUGUAAUUUGGAGAGGGCAACUUUGGGGCCGUUCCUUGUCUAUGUUCCUUGGAACAGGACGUCAUAGAGGGUGAGAAUCCCGUGUGGCGAGGAGUGCGGUUCUUUGUAAAGUGCCUUCGAAGAGUCGAGUUGUUUGGGAAUGCAGCUCUAAGUGGGUGGUAAAUUCCAUCUAAAGCUAAAUAUUGGCGAGAGACCGAUAGCGAACAAGUACAGUGAUGGAAAGAUGAAAAGAACUUUGAAAAGAGAGUGAAAAAGUACGUGAAAUUGUUGAAAGGGAAGGGCAUUUGAUCAGACAUGGUGUUUUGUGCCCUCUGCUCCUUGUGGGUAGGGGAAUCUCGCAUUUCACUGGGCCAGCAUCAGUUUUGGUGGCAGGAUAAAUCCAUAGGAAUGUAGCUUGCCUCGGUAAGUAUUAUAGCCUGUGGGAAUACUGCCAGCUGGGACUGAGGACUGCGACGUAAGUCAAGGAUGCUGGCAUAAUGGUU